GAGCUUGUAGCUCAGUGGACUAGAGCGUGUGGCUACGAACCACAAGGUCGCGGGUUCGAAUCCCUCCUGGCUCA
rnacentral:tRNA from 1 species